GACAGAGGUGCCAAGCGUUAGGCGGAAUCACUGGGCUUAAAGCGUGUGUAGGCGGGUGCCUAAGUACCUUGUGAAAUCCCACGGCUCAACCGUGGAACGGCUGGGUAUACUGGGUGCCUUGGGUCAUCCAGGGGCUGCCGGAACAAAUGGUGGAGCGGUGAAAUGCGUAGAUAUCAUGAGGAACACCGGUGGCGAAGGCGGUUCUCUGGGCAUUACCUGACGCUGAGGAGCGAAAGUGUGGGGAGCGAACAGG
rnacentral:rRNA from 1 species